rnacentral:pre_miRNA from 1 species
CAGUCAAAAUGACUGUGAUGUGUAGAUUUAAGUCAUAUCACAGCCAUUUUUGACGAGUU